AGAGUUGAUCAUGGCUCAGGACGAACGCUGGCGGCGUGCCUAACACAUGCAAGUCGAACGAAGUGUAUUUUCGGAAUAUACUUAGUGGCGGACGGGUGAGUAACGCGUGAACAAUCUGCCCUAUACAAAGGAAUAGCCUCGGGAAACUGGGAUUAAAACCGUAUAACACUUAUUUAUCGCAUGGUAGAUAAGUCAAAUUGAAUAAGAGGUAUAGGAUGAGUUCGCGUCUGAUUAGCUAGUUGGUGAGGUAAUGGCUCACCAAGGCGACGAUCAGUAGCCGGCCUGAGAGGGUGAACGGCCACACUGGAACUGAGACACGGUCCAGACUCCUACGGGAGGCAGCAGUGGGGAAUAUUGCACAAUGGGCGAAAGCCUGAUGCAGCGACGCCGCGUGAGUGAAGAAGGUCUUCGGAUCGUAAAACUCUGUCCUUGGUGACGAAAAAAUGACGGUAGCCAAGGAGGAAGCCCCGGCUAACUACGUGCCAGCAGCCGC
rnacentral:rRNA from 1 species